UCCUUUGAAAAACUGCAGAUGUA
rnacentral:snRNA from 1 species